UAGCAACAAAUUGCACCAGUCAAAUUAUAUUUCUCAAAAGAGCCCACAAAAACUUCGAGUUGAGUGGCUCAUUAUUUUUGCUUAGAAUCUUGAACUCUUGGGAUAUAACUAUAUAAGUCACUUCUCAUGGAAAAGGUUUCAGAUAACAAUUUACAAGGUAGUUACCCAAGACAGCAAAAAAAUGUUUACCUAUUACACGUGCAAAAUAAAUAACAGAAAUUUAUUAUUUUUUUUUUUCUGCAAGUAAUGCAGAGUAAAAAUACAAAAUAUAUUACAGAACCCAUUCGUGGAUUAUGAUUUCACAUCUAAAAAGGAUCUUAACCAUUUAACACUUGUUCAUGUGUAACAAAUUAGCAGGAAACUUCGUCAUAAGUGCCAAAGCAUCAACUUAACCAAAUUUCCAGAUUCUUUUAUUUGUAAAAUGUAAAAAUGAUAUAGCAUAUGUUAGAAUAAUAGGAUUAAUGACCUAGUCGUUGGUCCUUGAACUUGUCAGCAUACUCAAAACUCAAUAUCGUGCCUUAAAAAUUAAGGGUCCGUUUGAUUGCAAAGAUGAAAUUAAAUUGCCUAGAAAACGAAUUCCAAGGAAUUCAAUUGCCUAUAAGGGUGCGUUUGAUUGCACAAAUUUUCCAUGGAAAAUGGGUUUUUUCCACCUAAUUUCCUACUUUUGUCUUGUUUGAUUAACAAUUUUUUCCAAGGAAAAUACUUUCCUUGUUUUGAUCACGUGACCACAUUUUCCUUAAAAACAAGGAAAAUAUUUUCCUUGGGAUAGGGUGGAUUUUAUUUUCCAUGGAAUUUAACCCUUCCAAAAAUUCUAGUAACCAACCCACGUAAAUAUCUCUCUCUCUCCCUCUCUCAUCUCUACCCAAGUACCCUCUCUCUCAUCCAUUCAACCUGCUCUCAUCGAUUGAAAGGAACCAGGAAGGCGUCUCACUCUCUUAUCGAUUCAACUGAACUAGGAAGAAGAAAUCGACAAUCUGCCUCCGGGGAAAUCAAUGCGAAAGGUUGGCAACGAGGCGGUGACUGCAUAGAUUGAGUUUAUAGCAUGGCUACAACAACGAAUCAACGUCGAUGCCGACGACAACAGUUAGGUUUAUUUUAGACGAUGAUCAUGCAAGCGAUUGUAAUAUAUAAUGAACUUAGGUGUCGUGCACGACAUCUUCCAAGAGCUCCUCAUACAAAUUGGAAUUCUGAAAGAGAAAUAACACUUACACGAAUGUUUGGCACGAGUGAUACAAUAUGUCGUGAUCUCCUUAGGAUGAAAAUAGGUCCAUUUCAAAGAUUAUGUGCUCGUUUGCGAACUUAUGGAUUGGUUGAUAGGAAAUACGUUCGAAUUGAGGAACAAGUCGCAAUUUUUUUGAAUACAGUCGGGCAUGACCAACGUAAUCGCGCUGGACGUUUUACUUUUUUUCAUUCUGGUCAAACAGUGAGCUUUUACUUUCACGGAGUCUUACACGCUUGUCUUAGACUGUAUAGAGAUGUUGUGACUAAUGCCACUCCUCAUAACUCACCAUACGAAAAAGAAAAUGUGCAGCAUUGGUACUCCUUUUUCCAGGUUAGUGGUUUGUAGUUAUUUCGUCAUAUUUCUUAAAACUUCAAUAUACACAUUUAUUUUGAAACGUAUUCUUUUUUAAAGGAUGUCGUAGGAGCAAUCGAUGGUACACAUAUUGCUGCGUAUGUGCCUUUAGAGGAGCAAGGUAAAUAUCGCAAUAGAAAGCAAGUGAUCUCCCAAAAUGUUUUAUUAGCUUGCACAUUUGAUAUGAAAUUUACUUACGUGCUUGCCGGUUGGGAAGGAUCCGCACAUGAUGGUCGAUUGUUACGGAGUGCAAUAUUACGCCAAGGACAUAAGCUAACAAUUCCUGUUGGUAAAUAUUAUCUUGUUGACGCUGGCUUCCCAUCAGUUUCGGGUUUUCUUGCACCAUAUCGUAGGACUCGUCAUCAUCGUAGAGACAUUGAAGGUCAACGUCCUGAAAGUAGUAAGGAGUUGUUCAAUUUUCGACAUUCAUCUCUACGUAAUGUUAUUGAGCGUACAAUUGGUUUGCUGAAAAAAAGAUUUGCAUAUUUGAGACAUCAACCCUAUUACGACAUUGACACACAAGCAAAAAUAGUCCUUGCCUGUUCUGCCAUCCACAACUUCUUAAGAAUUGAUGACGUUGAAGAUGUUUGUGAGCAGGACGACUUAGAUAGUAGUGAUGAUGAGGUUAACCCUACGCAUGUUGAUGUACCUGAAGAUGAAACUCCAAAUGCUGACAUAUCUUUCACAAAUCAGGAACUGUGGCCUAAUAAGAGGAAUGCGAUUGCUGAUUUAAUGUGGGCUGAUUAUCUUCCCAAUCAGAAUGCAGGAAUUGAUGUUGCUUGAAAUCUGAUUUUUUUUUCCAUUUUUUUCUUGUGGCUUUUUUUUUUUUAUUUUUUUUUUCUUUUUAUGUAAUGGAUUUAUACUUACUAGACUUUUAUCUGUAGUAAUUACUUGAAUUGAAGACAUAUUGACAUGAAGCAUAUUUUUUGCUUUUUUUUUUCAUGUCCUAUAAUAGUUGACAUAAACUUGCUAGAAUUUUAAAUAUUGUAAUUUGAAUUACUGUUAUUCGAUACAAAUUGUUGACAUAUAAUUUUCUUAAAUGUUCUUGUUUAUUAAUCUUGCACUAUAGAUAUCAUGGCAAAUAUUCGACAAAGCUCUACGGCUCCUUAUCGAGUUCCUAGACCAGCCCUCCAUUCAGACGUGGAGGAAAUAAGCUCAACCCAAGCGGAUCCUAAUUCUAGGAAUCGUCAAAUACGUUGGAGUGAUGCAAUGGAUAGUUGUAUGGUAACUGCACUACAACAUCAAGUGUUGGCUAGUCACAAAAGAAGUGACAAUAGCUUUUCAUCAUAUCACGUGUCCAAAGCAAUCGAGAGCGUGCACAAUGGAUGCGGAGUCGUGGUGUCUGAUAAGAAUGUGAGGGCGUGAUUGAAAACUCUGAAAAAAGAAUAUGUUGAAGUUCGUCAGUUGUUAAGUAUGAGUGGUUUUAGGUUAGAUCCUCAUAAUGGACGUGUCACAGCCAAUGUACUAGCUUGGGAGGAGUUGUUGAAGAUACAAAAUUUCAUUGACCAACGAAAGUAUUAUUCCUUAAAUAUUAGUAAUAUAAUUUAUUUUGACCACUGACUAGCGUAAAACAUAUUUCACUCUUUUUCUUGUAGGGCAAACCAGAAUUUGGAAAGUGGAGGACCAAACUUUGUGCUCGUUAUGAUGAUUUGGAGGCUAUCUUUGGAAAUGAUUCUGCUACAGGAGAUCGUGCUGUAACCGGCAAUGACAUUUUAUCCCCCGAACAUGAUGAAAAUGUGCAUGAAGUUGAUGGUCAAAAUGAGGAUACCGAACCAAGUCCCAUUCGUGCUCCUAAGCAUAACGCUGAAGGAGGAACUAACAAAGUUCGCCGUCGACGUACUCAACCUAAUGAUGAGAGUCUCGUUGCCCUAUCAAGCAUUGCCGAAUCAUCUAAAAAAAUUGCUAAUGCUAUGGAGACUCAAGCAACAUUAGAUACACUAAACCACAUCAAUUGGCAGUUGGUUCUAGAAAAAUUACAAGGCAUGAGUAUAGAAAAGAGUGACAUAAUGCAAGUAAUGAAAAUUUUUCGAUCGGAUGAGAGUCUGGCUAGAGAAUUUAUGAGUUUGACUGAUGAAGAAUUCAUGCGUGAUUUAGUAUUUGAAAUUCUGGGCCGUGAUCCGCCUCCACUAUUUUAAGAUGACGUGCUUGGAUAAUUCAACAAACAUAUGUGGAAGUAUGACAUCUAUGUUGAUUUUAUUUCCUAUUUUCUUAUGAUAGAGAUUUUACGGGUUUUUUCAUUUUCGUUUUAUGUAAUACGUUGGACGAAAUUUCAUCAUUAUUUAUUGAAUUGAUUAUCUGAUUAUUAUUUUUGAUUGCAAAGAAGAAUAUUUAACUGGUAGUAAUCUAAAUUGGUAGGGAUAAUUAUUUCAUCUCGACAGUGUUUAUGCAUCUUUCGUACCGAAUCUUGGCAUGUUUUUAUCCAUAAAUUAACUGCUAUAUUAAUUAGGAUUGAUUAGGAUUUGGCCGAAUUUAUGUCUAUAAUUUGUUUAAGAGUUGGAACAUUCAUUGACAAAUUUUCAUGGAAAAAAUCCAAUAUUUUCCAUGGAAAAAGUGACAAUUUCCAUGGAAAAUAGUGCUUGUCAAACAGAUAAAA